GCGGGGUAGUCCCUGGCUGUUACCAGGGCAACUGAAAGCGAUGGACGGUUAUCCGUGCUUUGGAGCCGUUAGCGGGAGAGGUUGAGAUGCUCAGACUUUGUUUGGGAUGAGAGAAAGGGGCAUCGGAGUCCUCCUAAGAGAAGGAGAUUGUCCUGUCGCGCCCCUUGUCGUGCCUUGAGUCUUCCGGCAAAAUGAAGAGUGGCCCAGGGGCUCCUCACUGUUGAUUCCCCGUGUCCUUUUCCAGUGUUCUGCCUCCUUUUAGAAAAUCAACAAAGAAGGCAUUGGAGACCUUAAAUGAAAACCUGUUUGCAGUGAGUUGAAGAGUGAGAGAAAUGAAGUGGACACAGCAUGUGAAGACAAUUCUUUCAAGAAGUUUGGCUGUAAAGGAAAAGAGAUUCAGAAAGGUGCCUGUGGAGCAGACAGUGGCCACCUUUGCUGCCACAUGGUGGUUUGUCUAAAAUUGAAGCUAAAGACGCCAAACUGGAAGACAGAGACAAAGACCUGAUGACGUUGUUUGAACCCAGGAAUCCAGACAUGCCAAAGGCUAGCUUUACCAUUGUACUUUUCACUGAAAUGAGCCAAUAAACUCUCCUCAUGUUUAA